rnacentral:rRNA from 1 species
AUUGAACGCUGGCGGCAGGCCUAACACAUGCAAGUCGAGCGGAUGAAGAGAGCUUGCUCUCUGAUUCAGCGGCGGACGGGUGAGUAAUGCCUAGGAAUCUGCCUGGUAGUGGGGGACAACGUUUCGAAAGGAACGCUAAUACCGCAUACGUCCUACGGGAGAAAGUGGGGGAUCUUCGGACCUCACGCUAUCAGAUGAGCCUAGGUACGAUUAGUUAGUUGGUGAGGUAAAGGCUCACCAAGGCGACGAUCGUUAACUGAUCUGAGAGGAUGAUCAGUCACACUGGAACUGAGACACGGUCCAGACUCCUACGGGAGGCAGCAGUGGGGAAUAUUGGACAAUGGGCGGAAGCCUGAUCCAGCCAUGCCGCGUGUGUGAAGAAGGUCUUCGGAUUGUAAAGCACUUUAAGUUGGGAGGAAGGGCAGUAAGUUAAUACCUUGCUGUUUUGACGUUACCGACAGGAUAAGCACCGGCAAACUUCGUGCCAGCCGCCGCCGUAAAAC